rnacentral:rRNA from 1 species
UACGAAGGGGGUUAGCGUUGCACGGAAUCACUGGGCGUAAAGCGCACGUAGGCGGAUUGCUAAGACAGGGGUGAAAUCCUGGAGCUCAACUCCAGAACUGCCUUUGAUACUGGCGACCUUGAGUCCGGGAGAGGUGAGUGGAACUGCGAGUGUAGAGGUGAAAUUCGUAGAUAUUCGCAAGAACACCAGUGGCGAAGGCGGCUCACUGGCCCGGUACUGACGCUGAGGUGCGAAAGCGUGGGGAGCAAACAGG